rnacentral:lncRNA from 1 species
CUGUACGUGUUCCAAAAAAUCCCAAAUUAGGCCCAGGGCCCCUUUCGGCCAAUAUCGCAACUCCGGCACGGCGGCUCCGCUGUGCUCCGGCGACGGCGCCGCCGCAAGCGGCGGCGGUUCACCUCAGGUUGGCCGUUUUCGACCGAAUUCGGCCACACUCGCAUUGGUUCCUGCGAUAAAACAACCCUACGGCCCUCGGGGGGCUGAAAAUUUACGGAAAACCGAAGCUUACCAGCGACGGUGCUCUCGGGUGCGGCGGCUCUCCGGUGAAGUUCGUGUUUUGGUGAUUCGGCUCUGAUCAACCUGUAGAGAAAAGAAUGGUGAUCAAGGUGGUAUAAAAAUUGCAUUAAACGGAGGCCGGGAAGGGCCUCAUCGGAGGCAAAAACUAAGGAGGGGCGCGGCGGCGCCGCUGGCUUUCGGCCGUGUUUUUCGGCCGUUUGGCCGGGAUUUUGGCUCCGAUUUGGCCACUGGGGAAAUCAGCGUGGAAAAACGAGUCGGGGGUAUGAAAUUUACCUCAAUCGGCGGUCAGAAAUCUCCCCGGUGCGGCGGCGGGUGGCGGCGGCCGGCUCUGGUUCGUCUUCUCCGGCGAGGGCAGGCGGCUAGGGUUUUGUGGUCUGGUGUGGGGGUUCUAUUUAUACCCUUUUGCCUUUUGAUCUUAGCCGUCCAUUUUGAUUUUAUCUGGGCUGUCCGUUUUUGAUUAAAUCUGGGUCGUCUGUGCGAUUAAAUCUGGGCCGUCCGUGCGCGCGAUUGAUCUGG